rnacentral:rRNA from 1 species
UACGAAGGGGGCUAGCGUUGUUCGGAUUUACUGGGCGUAAAGCGCGCGUAGGCGGGUUGCUAAGUCAGGGGUGAAAUCCCGGGGCUCAACCCCGGAACUGCCUUUGAAACUGGAGAGCUAGAAUCUUGGAGAGGCGAGUGGAAUUCCGAGUGUAGAGGUGAAAUUCGUAGAUAUUCGGAAGAACACCAGUGGCGAAGGCGACUCGCUGGACAAGUAUUGACGCUGAGGUGCGAAAGCGUGGGGAGCAAACAGG